GCUAAGAUUGAUGUGGUGUCGUUUCAAACAAAAAUAUAAAGAUUGAGGUGGUGGAACCCGCACAGAAGUUGAAGGAGGACGCGAUUAAGGCUAGGUUCUUGAUGUGGCGAACAGUGACGCAAUCGAAAACUUCUCUUUUGGAGGGGGGAGGGGCCAAUUGUUUAAUUUUUUUACAAUAAAUAUUUAUUAUAAAAUUCAAAUACAAACAAAUAUUGAAUAACAGAAAAGAAAAGAAAAACUUUUUUUUUCUCUUCAUUUUCGAAGCCAUAUAUCAAGCAUGCAUCAAGGUAAUUAUUAUAAUUUUCUUUUUGCAAGAAUGAUUAGUAGGGAUGGAUUCAGUACUAAACCGAUUCAUUUUUGUUCAAACCGUUGCCGAACCGACCUCCGUCGGUAUCAGUUUUUUCAAACUGCUACCGAUCCGACAUAAUCGGUAUACCGAUUGUCGGCAAGUAUCCUUCGGUUUUGGGUGGAUUUGCUGGCGGAGAUUCAUUGAUGUUGGAGAUGAGGAUGAUCUGAUGAUGGAAUAUGUUGUAAUUAGAAGAUCUGAUGAUGGAAUUUAUUGUAACUAGAUGGCCUGAUGAUGAUCUGUGUUAAUUUGAUGGGAUUGGGGAGGAAGAAAAAAGAUGAGAAGAAGAAUAGAUGAAGCAGAACUAAAUGCAGAAGAAGAAGAAGAAAGGUUGAAGACCAAAAGUGACGAACGAGAGAGAGAGAGAGAGAGAGAGAUUUUGUUUUGUGUUUAAUCUAUCACCUAAGAAGGUAUAAAUAUAAAGUUUAUACGUAUUAUAUUGAGGGUAGCUCGUACUCCAGUGGUAGGGAGUUGAGCUGUUGUGAAAGAGGUGGGGGGUUUGAACCUUACCUCUUCCAAGGUUUUAUAUAUUUUGUUUAAUUAUUCGGUAUGAGGUAUUGUGUACUGUAUACCGACGGUAUGCAAUAUCUCAUACUGUAGCUAAGCCGAAGACGAGCCAUCGGUACGGCUCAGCCGAGCUGAAUUGUCGAUAAGCCAAGAUUUCGGCCAAACAUUUAAAUUAUGAAAAACGUACAAGUCAACCAAUAACAUCAUAGCAUUUUUGAAAAUAAUUGGAGGGGGUCAGGGCCCACUCUGCUUAAUGUAGUUUUCCAAAUUGUUGACCAUCGACCAUAAGGACUUGAGAUUUUUAUUUGACCAUAAGGACUUGAAUUUUUUAAUUUUAUUUUUUAUUUUACAGAUGGCUAGAGUCAAUUUAAAUUAUACCGAACUCUUGCUAACCCUGCGAUUUUCCCCUUCAGUUUAUCAAUUCUCUUUUGGAUAGAUUAUGUGUUUAGAUGGGUGAUUCGAUGGAUGAGACUAGGUCCGAAGUGCUCUUGAGCGUUAGUUUUACAUCCGUAUUUCCAACCCAAAUCCUUAUAAACACCUCUGUAAACACAGAGAGAAUGGGAGAACCAAAUUCAUAUAAAUAGAAAGAGAAACAAAAUUCGCAGGGAUCGAGCAAUCUAGCCCACCAUGACAAAGUGAGGAGUAUGCUAUAGUUUAAUAGUCAGAUGGAGGCACACCAACACCAACACCCAAUCGUCUCAGGUUUUCCGAAGCAAGGAAAGAAAUAAGAGAAAAAUGAAGGAGAUAUGUGCUAAUGAUGGAGAAUUGUGGACUCUUGAUGAAUCAAGGAAGCUUAAGGCAACAAGAAGAAAAAGAUAUUCAACAAUUAAUUCUCUUAGCUGCUCCUAUUGGAUAGAAUGAUGUCAAUGAAUCCUAAAUCAAUCAGAACAUUAACCAAGGAGCUUUCCGUUGAAGCCAAGGAGUUAGAGUCCCAAAAGGAAAGAAGAAAAGUGUUACAAACUGAAUAAAAUCUCUCCUUGGACGUUCAAGAAACCUACCAUCUCACAUACGAAGAAGCAGAGACGCACCAGAGCUCAAGAAGAAGCAAGACUGCAAAACCACACUCUAGAAACGAUCGAUCGCUGCUUUCCAGAGAUCGAUCACUGAUCCGUAUUUCCCAAUUUUCUGAUUUUUGUUGUCUUCUUUUCCCAUGAACUCCUUUGUGUUCUUGACUCCCAUUAUGUGUAACUAAAUUUCCGGUAGUUAGGGGGCAGUUGA